rnacentral:lncRNA from 1 species
GUGCCAACACGGGCUGCCUGAGAGAAGAGGGGUUGACCUGUCUUCAAGGACCCUGUUCUCCAUCCGGGGAGCUUUACAGGGACCAUUGAAGGACACACCCGUGUCCCCCAACACAGAGAGGCCGGAGAAUGACAUUGCUAAAACUGAAACACCACCCACCCUCCCGCACUUUAUUCUCUACGAGAAACCAUUAAGCAGAGGGACCCUUCUUCCCAUGAUAAAACCUACCCAUCCAGACAUCGUCCAUCCUCCAAGCUCUCCUGAGGACAUAGCACAUGAGCCCGACACCGAGGCCUGCCCCUUUCUAUGGCAAGAUUGCAGCCACCGCGGCACAGGGAUCCCCAGUGUGCUGAAGCUUCCCUGUGGAUUCGGCGCUUCUUUCUUUUGGCCAGCUGUUUCCUCCUCAAGUGAGACCUCAGAACAUUAUAGAAACUUGGAAGAAGAAACACUUUGUUCCAUGACACAAUGAGUGCUUACAAUAUACUCAAGAAGGACAAAAUAAUAUAUAAAACAAAUAAAUAAAGCAUAUGUAUCA